CCCGUCUCUCCUCCCGACGCGACAGCGACAGGCGACGGCGCCACCCGCGGGCGGGCUUCCCCUCUCUCUGUCCCUCUCCUCCGGCGUUGCGGCGUGCUAGGUGGCCAAGGACCGUGGCCUCCUCUUCACGCGAUGCCGGGGUGUUGGCGCCCUCCACGGGCGCUCGACGAAACCCUAGGUACCUGUUCCUCACCGUCGGCGGUGGCGGCGAAGCUCACCGGCUUCAUCCCAUCGGGAGACAGAAUGUCCAAAUGAUUUGGCUAUCCAGUCCCUUUUAUCAGCAGUGGAUUCAUUUGGUGCUGAUUACAAGCUUCUUGGGAUACAGGCUUCCAGGGAGCCAACGACAUGAUAUAAGAAACUUUUCAUGCUUCCAUUGGCCCAAUUCUACAAUGGCAUUGUCAGGUUUUAUGUGUCUCACAAAACUCAUUCGCUUUCCUGCACUCAAAUCACAGUUUAGUGUACUUAGAGCAACUGUGUUUUUACUUUCCAGUCACCCUUUCACAACUGGACUUAACAGAUGGAAACAUGCGGAUAAAGUAAUUUAGUUGGAGCUAUUGGAAUUUACGGCUCAUAGUACUUGUUCUCUUUGCGUUUCCUUGCAUCUAAUUUUCAUGGAUUUGCCAUGUUUAAUUUAAUUCUAGGAGCAAAGGAAGAGAUUACACAGGAUGGCCAUGCGGUUCUGCAUUGGUUUUGUGUCAGGGAGGACUAAAUGGUCCGUGGACAAUUUGUUCAGAUCUUUGAUAUCGUCCUCAUCUUCUUUGCAAUUCCAGUUUGAUCCCCCUAAGGCUGGGGUUCCAAUGCAUCACAUAUUUGACCAUAAAUGUAGCAGAUAUAGAAUGGGUGGUUAGUACCUACUAUAAAAUUUAUCACUACCGGUUUCUGAAAGAUAUAUUUAUGUACUCCUAUUGAUCGUUUAGUACUCUAGCCAAAUUCCUUUUGACUUUUCAUGCUCAUAGGUCAUCCAACUUUGUAUUUAUUUUUGGCGCUCCAUCUUCCUGUCUAUUAAUUGAUAUCGGUUUGUUGCCAACCCUUCUCUGGCACUAAUCGGUCUAAGAGUUUUUCCAACCAUAUCGAAGACAUCUAUAUGUUUCUAUCCUCACUUCAUCAUCAUAAAUGAAUUAUAUAGGUGUCGUAAGAGUUCUUGCAAGUCGAAGCUUUUGAAAACCUCAGUAAUGCUAUUAGAAUCUUGGUCAUCUCCACAGAAUAUUCAGCCUCAAGCAUUUUGCCUGUGUUUUUAAUAAUAUUCCUGUCCUUGCACAAAAAACUUACUUUGACUGAUCUUCAGGUAAGCUACCUGUGCACUAAAGUUUCUUUAUUUUCUGCUCUCAUACUUGCCUUUCCUCUCUAUACCUAUCAUACCGUCAUCCACUUCCUAAAGCAAACCUUGUGGUGUUUAACUAUAGACUAACAAGAUAUGCAAUUAACCACUCUCUUUCACAGUUCAAAAUUGUGUUACACGCACUGCUCCAUGUGUAAAAGGAGACCAGCUAAGCACUCUCUUCGAGAAUUAAAAAAUGGGUUCCAAGACCUGAUGCUUGUGUUCAAGGAAACCAGCUACACGAAGGCUCACAUACCUUCUUAGGAUGCUGUGUCUGAAGGUAUGUUUUUGGGCAUGCUUGACCUUUUUGAUAGAAUUGAAACCACGACAGCUGCAGAUGGUGUCCUUAAAUAUGAAUUUUGGAAAGUACUUAAUCCAUCCCAAAUUAUAGGACGUUUGACUUUUUUGAUACCAAGUUUGACCAUUUGUCUUACUCAAAAAUUUGUACAAAAUAUCACUUCUUUUGUCGUGGCUUGGUGGUUUAUUAAUAAAAGUUGUACAUGUAUUACAAACUUGGGAUAAAAAAAGUCAAAUGUCUUAUAAUUUGGGAUGGAGGGAGUAUAUGUUACUCCUUUUUAUUGUGAACUUCUUCUAAUUGGUCCACUGGAGUUGUGGAUCGAUCUUUUGAAUUAUUUACCACCCACUUCAUAACAAUCAAAGCAAUACUACUGUCGGUAAAUAGUUCUGUCUUCCUCAAACUGCAUGACUGAUAUUCAUUUUAUGCACUUCAUUAUGUUGGUUGUCCUAACCCGACUGUAGGUGGUGAGCUUCUGAACUAAACUUUCAGCCUAUACGGACAUCUCUAUGUUGAAAUACCUGUACAAAAGUGUUGUAGAUCUGUCCGUUUUUUUUUUGCAAACAUCUGUCCAGUAUUCUAACAGAUAUGAAGAGUAUCCUGUUUUAUGUACUAUGCAAAUCAAUUUAUAGGCCAGCCAAUGCUCAUUACUUAUGUUGUCUUUAGUAUCCAGUUCCAUUGUGAAACCUUUUUGUGCCAAUAUUUUAGUGCCAAACUUAGCACCCAAUUGGUUAACUCAAGAGUGUAUUGUGUAAAUUUUAACCAUAUACGACAAAGGAUUUCAAAUUUGUAGUGGAAAAUGCUUAUAUAAUUUUCUGGAACAGAUACUACUACAUCGAUUAUAUUCACUAAAAAAGUUGUUUCUUCGGGGCAUCAGCUGAGAAGACCACAUAGGGUGCUAUGUGGAAGCCAGCUGGGAAGCCAGAACAUACAACUCUCAUGGGAGGUCAUAUUCCCUUUGUUGAAUUUUUGUUUCAGCCUCAACAAGAGCCGGACCAAUUUAGUGGUGGCUAUUAUGGGUAUCCCCAAGGAUACUAUCCAUAUGGUUGCUUGCCCCCUCAAAAUCCUGCCAUAUACACCUACACAACAAUAUCCAAGGUAUCAAAGUUACCAACAGCAGCCAGCAUUGCAGCCUCCACCAUAACAGUAGGAGUAAAGAUGACCCGAGAGGAUCUUUUGCAAACUGCCCCCAAUGUUGUUGGGGCAGCAUCUUUGGUGCAUCAGCACGACAAUCUCCUUACUUUUGCACUGUUAUAUGUAUGUUCCAUAGAAUGUGUUCAGUUAUGUCCAGGGAAACAAUGCUACCUAUGAUUCCGUCUAUUGUACAACAACACCAUGCCCAAAGCCACAUUUACAUGUACAAAUCAUGUGGCAUCGCACGUAUUGUAUGCCUAUGCUUCAUUACUCCCUAACACCAUAUGUAAUAUAUUCUUAUUUGUUGUAAGACCAAUUACAGCCACUUACUUUUAAUUAA